GAACUCUAAGGGUCGGAUCGGGAAUCGGAUGCGAUCGGCGACUGCUGUUUUGUAAACACUCAGUAUGAAUCCCAAUACCAAAGUGCUUGGACGCAGCGGAUUAGCUAAAAAACCAGGCAUCAAAAUAAAGGAAAAAUGUGUGAAAUGAGUUAAAAAAUUGGCCAAAAAUCCAUGAGGAAAAUAUGAAAAGCAUAUGUUCUAUACGAAAGUGUUGAGUGAGGGUGAAGUGUUCCAAGUGUGUGUGUUCCAUGUGUUCUUGACAUGUUGGUCAACUUCAAUUUUUGAUCAAUUUAUUUAAUUUUGGAUUUAAUAUCACCAAAAUCGAAUACUGCGAGAAUUUCACCCUACCGAAACCAAGCGCCAUUAAACAUAGUUUUGUUUAGUUAUUGAUAUCAAACUCAAUGGCCAAUGACAAAGGUCUUCGGAUAUAGUAUGUAAAUCAAAAAGGCAACGAGCUGCGCCCUUUAAUAUACUCUUGGCCAAAUCUGACGUCAAAACAAAUCGUUAAAAUGCCAUAAAAAAGAAUCCAUAUGCAGUAGUCGCUAAACCAGAGCGUGUGCGAGGCAAAUGCAUUCGAAUAAAAUUUUACCACCAUUUCCUCAAGCAUCAUCAACAUCAUGAACAUCAAACUAACUGCGGCAACAUCCGAGGCACCUCAUAAAAGUAAUGAUGCUGGAUGUCUAUGAGGCAUCAGUAGCAUUUGAUGGAUACAAAAUACAAAUACAAAUACGAAUACGAAUACAAAUACGAGAAUACCGAAACACCGGUAAUAGGGCAGACGAUACAGGGGAUACUUAUGAUGGCAUACGUCACGGAACUUGGGUUUUUAUGUCUUUUAUAUUGAUUGUCAUCAUGUCACACUAAACAGAUCGUAAAAAAGUCGUAAAAUCCAUACCAGUUGCCCAUCUUUUCCCCCCUCCAGCACUGAUGUACCCACAGCCAAUCUAAUUGAGACUCCGAAUUUGACUCAGUCUCAGACUCGUCUUGAGUGGUUUGAGGAAAAGGAAAAUGAACGCUCUCAGGAUCAUCUGCAGGAUACUCAACACACACACACACACACACGCUUGUCAAGGGAUCGUUUUCGGCAUUGCUUGGCUGAGUGAAUCUCAUUUUGGUUUCGUUUGCUCUCUAAGUGGUUGCUGGCGUCAAGUCGUAAAAGGGCCAUAAAAUUUUGGCUGCUUGGCUGGUGUAUUAACCGCAAUUUGUUUAUAUAGUUGUUAAAAUGCCAUUCCAUCUUGUUCUGUUUUGUUCUGUAGCAUUUAAUUGCCGACUGCCGGAUUCACUUUUUUUACGAGCUCACAAAGUGGGCAAACCUAAUAAAAUUUAAUUUUUACGACUA